rnacentral:rRNA from 1 species
AUUGAACGCUAGCGGGAUGCUUUACACAUGCAAGUCGAACGGCAGCACGGACUUCGGUCUGGCGGCGAGUGGCGAACGGGUGAGUAAUGUAUCGGAACGUGCCCAGUAGCGGGGGAUAACUACGCGAAAGCGUAGCUAAUACCGCAUACGCCCUACGGGGGAAAGCAGGGGAUCGUAAGACCUUGCACUAUUGGAGCGGCCGAUAUCGGAUUAGCUAGUUGGUGAGGUAACGGCUCACCAAGGCGACGAUCCGUAGCUGGUUUGAGAGGACGACCAGCCACACUGGGACUGAGACACGGCCCAGACUCCUACGGGAGGCAGCAGUGGGGAAUUUUGGACAAUGGGGGCAACCCUGAUCCAGCCAUCCCGCGUGUGCGAUGAAGGCCUUCGGGUUGUAAAGCACUUUUGGCAGGAAAGAAACGUCGCGGGCUAAUACCCCGUGGAACUGACGGUACCUGCAGAAUAAGCACCGGCUAACUACGUG